CGAGUGUCGGUAGAGCUUACGUAUUUUAUAAGAGAGAAUAGGAGGCAGCGUUAAUCGAAUAAAAUUCUUAUUCGGCGCACGUACAACGUGUAAACCCGUAAACCCGUAAAUUUGAGCGUCCUGCCGUCUAGGUACGUAGAGUAGGGUUACGAGACGUUGGAGUAACAGCUGGAACACCUACGACAUAGUAGCGAGUUUGAAGCGGAAAGAGACGAGUAUUAUAUCCUUAUGCAACGUUUUGUUGCGCACCGAAAGUUCCUGGACGAUUAUCAUCUUCAUCUUCAUGGAUGGUGACCUGCACACCCACGUCUGAAUUAAAAUGCGAUAAGUACCAUAAAUUGCUCCUCGAAAGUUUUAACAUAUUCAAGAAAAUGGCCGAGACGGAUGAAAGUUGUCUUAAGGUUUUCCUCUUCGGCCAUCCUGCAAUUGGUACUUCGAUCGACUUCCCGACGGAAGAAGGGCUCGUGAUUGCAGCUGGUGAUGGAGGGGCAAGUAAAAUAUAUAAAAGAAGGAAAGUCAUCAGAAAGAUAGGCACGGGAAAUAGAAUUGAUGGUAUGUAUCACAAGGAGCUAAGUAUCCGAGGGAGGGGUAGCCUUAGGAAGGGGAAAGACGGAGAGAAAGACUAAUUUGCUUUGGACACAAGGAUUGAGAAUGUGGGCGUGCAGUCGUAUACGAUCGAGGGUGGGGUUAAUUGGUAAAUUAACCUUAAUUAUCGAACCCUUCGUAUUUCUCCAUUCUUCCUCUUAUAAACGUUCGCUACGCGAAGCUGACUGCCAGGUUAAGCUCUUAGUCAGUUACUGGUACAUCAUUUCUUACGUAGAAGUUCAUAUAUAUAUAUAUACCCGGUUGAAAUUCCAAAGUCAAGUAAAAGAUUUCUCUUAUUUAAAAAGUCAAGUAGCCUGAGGCAAUGAGAUUUAUAAUACAACGGAAUUGUAUAAUACGAAAGAGAACAGAGAAAGUCUAAGGACU